UAAGUCCUGCAAGUCACCGCUUUAAUUUUUUAUGAUUUUCUAUUUAAUUUCAGGUGAUGUGACGGACAACAUGAGAUUCUCCUCGUCAUUGUUGAAGUUCUGUGUUGUGUCAACUCUUCACAUAGUUGCAUUUGAUCAUCCCGACGAGGAGCCUAAUUUGAUCAUUUCUGAUCUAGCGUACACAGAUUUUCCCUUAAAUCAAAUAUAAGGUUUUUCUGCAGACGAUGCCGUGUAGUGGCGUGGGUAUCGCUGAUGCUGGGUGACGUCAAGAUGAACGCUUAGCAGCCUGGUGAGAUUGAGAAUUUUACGGGGUGGCAAAGUUUGUUGGUUUUAAGAAGUAUUGUUGAGCCUGCUUGUUGUUCGAGUUGUGGGGUUUGUUACUUAGGUAGGAUUUUUUUCCCCCAUGAAUAAGUUUACGAGUUAUUUUGUGAUAUUCCGAUUUGUGUAGUGUAGUUUCCCCGUUCAGCUUAGGCAUCACACUUUCGUUUUUCUUCUAUAAUUUUGAUCCUCUCCUUUCGCUCCUACACCUUAACUUUAGUGAAUUGGGGCUCUGCAAAUUUUAAGAGUUUAAUAAGUGUUGUUUUAAUUUUGUCGGUGCAACUCUUCUUAACUACAAAGUGAAGAGGUACUACAUUACAUUGGGCGUUUAAAUC